GGGCAUUGCGAUGUCACCCUUGAGUGUCACACGGAGAAGCAGCAGGACUUUGUGGCACCUUGAUGAGUGCAGGUUUGGUCAGGAGGGGCGAGGGCCGGAAGCGUCGCAUCACCUCAGCCCCCCAGAGGUGCUGGGGGACAUGAGAGCCCGGCCCCAGGCCAAGGGGCCAAGUGGGAGCAGCUUCCUGGCCCCAAAGGGGACAGUGUGACUGAACUGGCACCAACCCCCAGGAGUUGUAAUUGUGCGGCACUAAUCAUGAUCAUGGUGAACUCAGCAAAGCUGCCAGGACCCCAGUUCACCCCGUGCAGAAAGCUUCUCCGGGCUUCCCACCCUCCCACCUUAGCAAAAUGAUCUCCCAGACCUGUCUCCCAAGUAAGGCCUCUGGCUCUCCUGGCCUCCCCAUGACCCUGGCAAAGGUCUGGAUACCACAGGAGCAUCUCCACAUCCCAGGGGCACAGUGCCUUGAGAACCUCGUCUCUGAGCCACUUCCUUUGGAAUGCAGUUAAUUACACAGGCAGGACAGACCUGAAUCACUACAGCUACGGUUUUAGAGGCAAGAUUUUGGAAGGAAAACAGCUAUUAAAGACAAUAAAACAAAGCAAAACAGAACAACCAACUCAGCCAGGCAUGAGGAGAGUAAUUAAGACAGAUUUUGGUACCAAAGAAGGGGAUUCAUUUCCAUGAUGGCACCUGAUCAUGUGGUUCAGAAGCCUUUGGAACUGGCUUGCAGGAGGAGAUUGGAAAGGUUUGGAGAGGCCAGCUGGAGAACCUUCUGUAGAAUUCUGUGAGCAGAGCUUGAUGGGAGGCUACAGUCAGAG
ensembl:lncRNA